rnacentral:rRNA from 1 species
AACGAACGCUGGCGGCAUGCCUAACACAUGCAAGUCGAACGAGACCUUCGGGUCUAGUGGCGCACGGGUGCGUAACGCGUGGGAACCUGCCCUUAUGUUCGGCAUAACUCCCCGAAAGGGGUGCUAAUACCGGAUAAUGUCUUCGAACCAAAGAUUUAUCGCGAUUGGAUGGACGCGCGUUGGAUUAGGUGGUUGGUAGGGUAAAAGACUACUAAGGCGACGAUUCAUAGCUGGUCUGAGAGACUGAUCAGCCACACUGGGACUGAGACACGGCACGGACUCCUACGCGAGGCAGCAGUGGGGAAUAUUGGACAAUGGGCGAAAGCCUGAUCCAGCAAUGCCGCGUGAGUGAUGAAGUCCUUAGGGUUGUAAAGCUCUUUUAACCGGGAUGAUAAUGACAGUACCGGGAGAAUAAGCUCCGGCUAACUCCGUG